rnacentral:rRNA from 1 species
UACAGAGGGUGCAAGCGUUAAUCGGAAUUACUGGGCGUAAAGCGUGCGCAGACGGUUGCGUAAGUCAGAUGUGAAAGCCCCGGGCUCAACCUGGGAAUUGCAUUUGAGACUGCGUAGCUAGGGUGCGGAAGAGGGAAGCGGAAUUUCCGGUGUAGCGGUGAAAUGCGUAGAUAUCGGAAGGAACACCUGUGGCGAAAGCGGCUCACUGGACCAUAACUGACGCUGAGGCGCGAAAGCUAGGGGAGCAAACAGG